rnacentral:rRNA from 1 species
UACGUAGGGGGCAAGCGUUGUCCGGAAUUAUUGGGCGUAAAGAGCGCGUAGGCGGUCCGGUAAGUCCGCUGUGAAAGUCGGGGGCUCAACCCUCGGAUGCCGGUGGAGUACUGUCGGGCUUGAGUACGGAAGAGGCGAGUGGAAUUCCUGGUGUAGCGGUGAAAUGCGCAGAGUAUCAAGGAGGAACACCAAUUGCGAAGGCAGCUCGCUGGGACGUUACUGACGCUGGAGACGCGAAAGCGUGGGGAGC